CCUACGGGAGGCAGCAGUGAGGAAUAUUGGUCAAUGGGCGUAAGCCUGAACCAGCCAAGUAGCGUGCGGGAUGAAGGCCCUACGGGUUGUAAACUUCUUUUGUCCGGGGAUAACACCCUCCACUUGUGGCUGUCUGCAGGUACCGUACGAAUAAGGACCGGCUAAUUCCGUGCCAGCAGCCGCGGUAAUACGGAAGGUCCGAGCGUUAUCCGGAUUUAUUGGGGUUAAAGGGAGCGUCGGCGGGCGUUUAAGUCAGCUGUAAAAUCCCGGGGCUAAACCCCGGGCGGCAGUUGAAACUGGAGGGCUUGAGGGCGGAGAAGGUAGGCGGAAUUCGGGGUGUAGCGGUGAGAUGCUUAGAUAUGACGAAGAACGCCGAGUGCGAAGGCAGCCUGCCGGGGUGGGACUGACGCUGAGGCUCGAAAGUGUGGGUAUCGAACAGGAUUAGAUACCCUAGUAGUC
rnacentral:rRNA from 1 species